CAGUCGAGCGGAAACGAGUUAUCUGAACCUUCGGGGGACGAUAACGGCGUCGAGCGGCGGACGGGUGAGUAAUGCCUAGGAAAUUGCCCUGAUGUGGGGGAUAACCAUUGGAAACGAUGGCUAAUACCGCAUGAUGCCUACGGGCCAAAGAGGGGGACCUUCGGGCCUCUCGCGUCAGGAUAUGCCUAGGUGGGAUUAGCUAGUUGGUGAGGUAAGGGCUCACCAAGGCGACGAUCCCUAGCUGGUCUGAGAGGAUGAUCAGCCACACUGGAACUGAGACACGGUCCAGACUCCUACGGGAGGCAGCAGUGGGGAAUAUUGCACAAUGGGCGCAAGCCUGAUGCAGCCAUGCCGCGUGUGUGAAGAAGGCCUUCGGGUUGUAAAGCACUUUCAGUCGUGAGGAAGGUAGUGUAGUUAAUAGCUGCAUUAUUUGACGUUAGCGACAGAAGAAGCACCGGCUAACUCCGUGCCAGC
rnacentral:rRNA from 1 species